rnacentral:rRNA from 1 species
GACGAACGCUGGCGGCGUGCUUAACACAUGCAAGUCGAACGGAAAGGCCCUGCUUUUGUGGGGUGCUCGAGCGGCGAACGGGUGAGUAACACGUGAGUAACCUGCCCUUGACUUUGGGAUAAGUUCAGGAAACUGGGGCUAAUACCGGAUAGGAGCUCCUGCUGCAUGGUGGGGGUUGGAAAGUUUCGGCGGUUGGGGGUGGACUCGCGGCUUAUCAGCUUGUUGGUGGGGUAGUGGCUUACCAAGGCUUUGACGGGUAGCCGGCCUGAGAGGGUGACCGGCCACAUUGGGACUGAGAUACGGCCCAGACUCCUACGGGAGGCAGCAGUGGGGAAUAUUGCACAAUGGGCGGAAGCCUGAUGCAGCAACGCCGCGUGCGGGAUGACGGCCUUCGGGUUGUAAACCGCUUUCGCCUGUGACGAAGCGUGAGUGACGGUAAUGGGUAAAGAAGCACCGGCUAACUACGUG